CCCGCCCGACCGGGCGCGCCGGCCCGUGCUGCCACGUCGCCAGCGAGAGGAUAAGGGCAGCCCCGACGCCUCGGGCUCCCUCCCCACUCGCCCACUCCACCCAGCUCUCCCUCUCCGCCUCCCCCUUGCUCUCCAGAUCGCCGCUCACCCUCCCUCCUCGCCGAGCGCCACCGUGGCCAUGGCCGCCGUGUAGCCGCGACCACCGCCUCCCCCAAGUAUCUCCGACCUACCCUGCAGCACUGCCGCGGUCCGCUGCUUCGACUGCGCCACCAAAUCGACCCCGGGAAGCCAUCCCUUCGACGCCACCGAUCUCCUCCACCUUCGGCCGUCGCACGCCGCAGCCAUAGCCAACAGCCUCCCCGAGCCGCGAGUUGAGGCCCUGGAGGACCACCAUCAUCGUCUGCAUCAUCUACGAGGACUCGUUCGACCAGAGCCGCACUGCCUCAUCGACAUUGGACCUUCUUCCUCCGCAGCAGCCACCGGUCGCGGUCGUCAAAUUCGCCAUCGUCACGUCGUCCCCGAGCCCGCUGCCCCCCUUACAAACAUAUAUGCUGCAACUAGAUGGUUGAGCCCAGGAGCCAGAUGGUACUGCCGACGACUACUACUACCCCGACGGAGACUACUACUACAUGGUGACCGGCGAUGACUAGGAGUAGUUGAGGAGGCUCCCGGGUAGGAGGCCUUGCCUUUUCGAUCGUUGAUACUUUUGUGCUAGCCUUCUUAGGGCAAACUUGUUGAACUCAUGUCUGCACUCAGAUAAUGUUGCUUCCGCUGACUCGUUUGUAUUCGAGCCCUCGAGGCCCCUGGCUUGUAAUAUAAAGCUUGUUUUAUUUUAAUUUUUUUC